rnacentral:rRNA from 2 species
UGAAAUUUAACGGAUUUGGCGGCAAGAUAGCUCCUUAGAGGAACCUGCCCUGUAAACGAUGAACCACGAAAGCCUUACUUUUUUUUAUAAAUUAGUUUGUAUACCGCUGUUGUCAGUUAAAUUUUUGAGAAUAUUUUCUAACAUGAUAAAAUCAUUGACUUCAAGUAAAGGUGCAGCUUAUAAAGAAGAUAGAGGUGGGUUACAUUUAUAAGAUUAAACGGAUAAGAUGAAUUAAAUUAGUUUUUGAAGGUGGAUUUAACUGUAAAACUUAAGGAAGUUUGGUGAAAGCUCUAUUUUGUGUACACAC